rnacentral:rRNA from 1 species
GAUGAACGCUGGCGGCGUGCUUAACACAUGCAAGUCGAACGGAAAGGCCAGUGCUUGCCCUGGUACUCGAGUGGCGAACGGGUGAGUAACACGUGGGUGAUCUGCCCUGUACUUCGGGAUAAGCUUGGGAAACUGGGUCUAAUACCGGAUAGGACAACUUUUUGGAUAUUGUUGUGGAAAGCUUUUGCGGUAUGGGAUGAGCUCGCGGCCUAUCAGCUUGUUGGUGGGGUAAUGGCCUACCAAGGCGUCGACGGGUAGCCGGCCUGAGAGGGUGUACGGCCACAUUGGGACUGAGAGACGGCCCAGACUCCUACGGGAGGCAGCAGUGGGGAAUAUUGCACAAUGGGCGCAAGCCUGAUGCAGCGACGCCGCGUGGGGGAUGAAGGCCUUCGGGUUGUAAACUCCUUUCGCUAGGGACGAAGCUUUUUUGUGACGGUACCUGGAGAAGAAGCACCGGCUAACUACGUG